rnacentral:misc_RNA from 1 species
CGCCUCUCGGCUUGUGAAACACGCUCCUUUUCCCUCUGUGAUGAGAUAUCAUCUCUCAGGUUUGACUUGCUGAGCUAGAUUUCUCACCUGCCUGCGAGGUAAGACCUCAGCUGUAGUUAAUCUUAUCCUUCUCUUGAGCUGAAAAUGGCUUGAAUUCCUUUUCUUUUUUCUAGUAAUGGUUGCUUUCCUUGCUUUCUCUGCAAUCUAGUGUUAGUUUUCUGCUUCUUUUUCUUUUAGUCUAUUGUUUUUUUGGAUCUGGCA